rnacentral:lncRNA from 1 species
GAUCACCUAGAUUAUCUUAAAGUUUUAAUCUUAUAUAUACUUAAAGAUAUAGAAAUAAUAGAUGUUAAGAAAAUAAUAUUAGAAAAAGUAAUAGACUAUGAAAUUGAAAUCAUAAAUUGGCUAGAACAGUUAUACGAAGAAAUUUAUCCAGAAAGAUAUUAUUCAGAUUAAGAGAUGUUAGAAUAUAUUAGAAAAACUAGAGAAAAUCAAGAUAAUCUAAAUAAUGAAAUUAAUUAUAGAAACCGAAUU